CGUCACUCGGACCCACAUAAGCUCGCAUGGUGGGAUGUUUGGAGUGGGGACUUACUCUUUUGAUAAUCCGCUGGCGCCGUCUCAAAACAUUAGCCCGAACUCAGACUCCAAGCCGGAUGUCAUCUUCUUAUUGGAGCAAGGAAAAGAAUCAUGGAUGGUUACAAAUUAUAUGACAAGACCUUGGCAUCCAGACUUGGAGUCAAAGUGCGACAGAGUUCCACAGAAAGGCCUUUUUGAAACAGAGUCGCUCAGAUGGGAGUGGUGAAACGCCUUCCGCACCAGGACUGUGAGGAUAGCUGGGAACGCAGAGAGCGGCUUGAGAGACAGCGAGCGAG
rnacentral:lncRNA from 1 species